AUUGAACGCUUGCGGCAGGCCUAACACAUGCAAGUCGAACGAGUGGCGGACGGGUGAGUAAUGUCUGGGAAACUGCCCGAUGGAGGGGGAUAACUACUGGAAACGGUAGAUAAUACCGCAUACCAUCGGAUUUGCCCAGAUGGGAUUAGCUAGUAGGUGGGGUAAGGGCUCCCCUGGGCGACGAUCCCUGGCUGGUCUGAGAGGAUGACAAGCCACACUGGAACUGAGCCACGGUCCAGACUCCGACGGUAGGCAGAAGUGGGGAAUAUUGCACAAUGGGCGCAAGCCUGAUGCAGCCAUGCCGCGUGUAUGAAGAAGGCCUUCGGGUUGUAAAGUACUUUCAGCGGGGAGGCGUUACCCGCAGAAGAAGCACCGGCUAACUCCGUGCCAGCCGCCGCGGUAAUAC
rnacentral:rRNA from 1 species